rnacentral:rRNA from 1 species
GACAGAGGGGGCAAGCGUUGCUCGGAAUUACUGGGCGUAAAGGGCGCGUAGGCGGUCUGUUGCGUCGGGAGUGAAAACUCAGGGCUUAACCCUGAGCCUGCUUCCGAUACGGGCAGACUAGAGGUAUGCAGGGGAGAACGGAAUUCCUGGUGUAGCGGUGAAAUGCGCAGAUAUCAGGAGGAACACCGGUGGCGAAGGCAGCUUACUAAGCUGUAACUGACGCUGAGGCACGAAAGCGUGGGGAUCAAACAGG